AUGAUGGAGUCAAAAGACAAGUUACCUGGAAAGAAGCCACAGUCAGGGGUUGGGAGAGGGCAGAUGCGCGGCUGCGGAGCUAGGUGGGAGCCCUGGAGGCGUUUGAGGGGACACGUGGAAUUUGAACUGCUGCACUGUCUUAAUCCGGGCCUCGUCCACCCAAGCCCUCUGCGGCGCGAGGACCACAGAGCAUCUGCUUUUCUUACGGUCCAGGCCCUCGAGACCCCGCCCCACUGGAGGCCCUGCUCAUUGGAGGCCUGCCCAUUGGAGGUGCAGUCUGGUUGCCUUGGCAACCCCCCCGCGGCCGUGUUCCGGGCUUGGCGUGCCGCAGGGGAACGCGGUUGCCACAGCAACGGUGGGGCGUGUCCGGCCAGGCACCCGGAGCGGAGCGUUCAUCCCGCAGACGCGGAUGCUGUUGCUCCUGAGACGAGAGGGCCCUUGAGGCACCGAGCCAGACGCGGAAAGAAUCCAUCAAUCAUCCGGGACCCCUUCGGUGCAGAUGACCCUGUGGAUGGUCGACGGGGCGUGGGUGUUUCCAGCAGAGGGGCUUCAGCCGGAGAAAGCGGCUCACAGAGAGUUUCCGCCCGCCCGCCGCCCGAAGGAGCAGAAGGGAGGGAGCCGGAGGCCAGCCCGCACCCCGUGAGGCUGCUGCUUGCUGAGCGCCCACCAGGAGCAGCCUGCGGCUGGGGUCCCUCCACCCUGAGUCUGCUCGUGGAGGGCUGUGGGCUCCCCGCCGCCCCUCACCUGAGAGGCACUCUCUAGGGAAGUGGGUGACCUGGAGGGGGCCCUGUGCAGGGGUCUCGGGCAGCAGUGAGUGGAGGCAGCCUGGCAGCCCUGGAGGACAGCGUGUUUCCUGGGACAGGGAGACAGGAGAGAGAUGCCAGCGGCCUCCUGGUCUGAGCCACAUUCUGGGCAUGGGGCAGGGAGAGAAGAAGCAGAGCGCGCCUAGAAACGAGAGGGAGGCCAGCAGAGCGCCCCGGGGUAGCCGUCCACGUGAGCCACCUGUACCAGUCCCACCUGCCGGCGGGGGAGCUGCCCCGGCCGGGCCCAGCACACCCGCUACACGAGGACCAGGGCCUUGGCAGAGCUGGGGGUGCCAGAGGGCCUGCCCACCUCCAGGGGAGAUCCAGGCCGCGGCCCUGAUGGCAAGCCCCGCCUAGAAUGCCACAGCUUUUGCCUCUGCAGGCCCACCUGGCCGGCGUCUGGGAGGACGCUUCUCCUCCGGGCCGGCGGCCUCCCUGUCCCUGCGCGCUCCCCACUAUAAUGGAGCUGCCCUGGGGAGUCAGGUCCCUGCUCUGAACCUCAGGAUCCUAGUCCAUAGAGAGCCUGCUUUCCUCAAGGGGUGCCAGGCUCGGCUGAGUGAAGUGCUGAAAAGUGAGGACAGGCAACCCCAGAGCUCACC
rnacentral:lncRNA from 1 species